UUGGUAUAUGUGUGUGGAGUUAGUCUCUUGGUGCUUUGGUCUCUUCUAUUGAGAGUGGGCUUAUGGUUGUUUUGUUUGUGAGGUGCUUCUUACCUUUUAGCUGGUGGUUUUGCUUUAUGCAUGUGUUUUCCUGCUUCGUGGUGACUUUGAUUUUCCGGUGAUUAUUCUUCCUCUGAUCCGUUUUUUUGGUGUUUUGGGUUGAUGUUUGAUCGCGUUCAUUUGUGUUCUAGACCUUUAUUGAGUUAGUGUUACUAUAGUAUUUUAUUUUUUCUUUGUGAUUGUGGAGAUUUAAGUUUAGAUUAUGUGUCUUACUCUAGUUUUUUUUAGUUUUGUUAUUUUAUGAUUUUUAAUAGUAAAAUAAAUUAUAAUUUGUAAAUAAAAUAAUAGAAAAUAGUAAAAAAUAAUAAAAUAGUAAAAUAGUAAAAGUUUAUGUUAUUUUUAGUUGUGAAUAAAUAAAAUAUUUAAAAUCGAUUUAUAUUAUUUUUAUUUUUUCUUUAUUCAUCUUCAAUUUUAUUGACCAAUAAAAUAUAUUAUAAAACUUCAUAUAAUAAUGGUUAGUGUGAGAAAAAUUAUAGUUCACAAUUAAAAAAUACUAAACGAAUCUGCAAUAUAGUGUAAAAGAGGAAGUACGUAAAAUGUAAAAACAAAAAAUAUAUAGGGACACAUGUCAUCAAACUCCCUUGUCAUUUGUCAUAAAAAGGGAAAAAAUUAACUUUAUAUACAUAGAUUGAAACGUUUGAUAACAUAAGCAUAAUAUAACUGAAUUUUACAAUUUUUCAGAUGAAGAAAGUUAUUAUUUUUAAUCAUAAAUAUUUUUUUAAUAUAUAUGAACAAUCUUAAACCUCAAUCUUUAUAUACAAAAUAAGUAUUAGUUUAUUAACAGCAUAGUUCGAACUAAUUAUUAGCACUAUUUUUAAAGAAUAUAAUUUUUUAUUAGUACUA
rnacentral:lncRNA from 1 species